UAGUCGGGACCUAAGCUGAGGCCGAAAGGCGUAGGUGAUGGACAACAGGUUGAUAUUCCUGUACUACCGAUAACCGUUUGAGAGAUGGGAUGACACAGUAGGAUAAGCUAAGCACACUGUUGGUUAUGUGUGCCCAAGCAUUGAGGCAGUCAAAGUAGGCAAAUCCGCUGUGAUAAUGCUGGGAUGUGAUGGGGAGCGAAAUUUAGUAGCGAAGUAGCUGAUUUCACACUGUCAAGAAAAGUCUCUAUCGAGGUUAAAGGUACCCGUACCGCAAACCGACACAGGUGGGUGAGGAGAGUAUCCUAAGGCCAGCGAAAGAACUGUUGUUAAGGAACUCGGCAAAAUGACCCCGUAACUUAGGGAUAAGGGGUGCCACCAUCAGGUGGCCGCAGAGAAUAGGCCCAAGCGACUGUUUACCAAAAACAUAGGUUUCUGCU
rnacentral:rRNA from 1 species